UACAUGGGGUGCAACCGUUGCUCGGAAUUAUUGGGCGUAAAGCGCGCGUAGGCGGUUACUCAAGUCGGAUGUGAAAGCCCUCGGCUUAACUGAGGAAGUGCACCCGAAACUGAGUAGCUAGAGUACUAAAGAGGGUCGCGGAGUUCCCGGUGUAGAGGUGAAAUUCGUAGAUAUCGGGAGGAACACCGGUGGCGAAGGCGGCGACCUGGGUAGAUACUGACGCUGAGGCGCGAAAGCGUGGGGAGCAAACAGG
rnacentral:rRNA from 1 species